AAAUUAAGCGUGUUUUGAUCUUUCAUGGUAAACAAAUGACCACCAUUAAGUUUUUAUGUUUAAUAAUUUAAUACCAAUGUAGAAUGUAGAAAAAAAUAUUCUGUGAUUUCAGGAGUGAAAAAAUAAUUCUACAACAACAGAGGCAAUGGAGGGGGAAGGUCCAACAGAGCUGCUGACAGAGAAGUAGGAAACACAGAUUCUUCCAUGCUGAUGGCCUGCACUCCUGUCAAAGAAAAUCUCAGGCUAAAAACCAUAUGACUAAUGUAAUCCCUAGAGUUUGGUGCCGAGAUUCUUCAGGACAAGGCCUUGAUGCCAUCAAGCCUUGGUACAUGAAGAUGGUGAGUUUCCUAAUAGCUGCCACUGUCCCAG